rnacentral:rRNA from 1 species
GGUUAAGCGACUAAGCGUACACGGUGGAUGCCCUGGCAGUCAGAGGCGAUGAAGGACGUGCUAAUCUGCGAUAAGCGCCGGUAAGGUGAUAUGAACCGUUAUAACCGGCGAUUUCCGAAUGGGGAAACCCAGUGUGAUUCGUCACACUAUCAUUAACUGAAUCCAUAGGUUAAUGAGGCGAACCGGGGGAACUGAAACAUCUAAGUACCCCGAGGAAAAGAAAUCAACCGAGAUUCCCCCAGUAGCGGCGAGCGAACGGGGAGGAGCCCAGAGCCUGAAUCAGCAUGUGUGUUAGUGGAAGCGUCUGGAAAGGUGCGCGAUACAGGGUGACAGCCCCGUACACAAAAGCGCAUGUGCUGUGAGCUCGAUGAGUAGGGCGGGACACGUGGUAUCCUGUCUGAAUAUGGGGGGACCAUCCUCCAAGGCUAAAUACUCCUGACUGACCGAUAGUGAACCAGUACCGUGAGGGAAAGGCGAAAAGAACCCCGGCGAGGGGAGUGAAAAAGAACCUGAAACCGUGUACGUACAAGCAGUGGGAGCACCCUUCGGGGUGACUGCGUACCUUUUGUAUAAUGGGUCAGCGACUUAUAUUCUGUAGCAAGGUUAACCGUAUAGGGGAGCCGGAGGGAAACCGAGUCUUAACCGGGCGUUAAGUUGCAGGGUAUAGACCCGAAACCCGGUGAUCUAGCCAUGGGCAGGUUGAAGGUUGGGUAACACUAACUGGAGGACCGAACCGACUAAUGUUGAAAAAUUAGCGGAUGACCUGUGGCUGGGGGUGAAAGGCCAAUCAAACCGGGAGAUAGCUGGUUCUCCCCGAAAGCUAUUUAGGUAGCGCCUCGUGAAUUCAUCUCCGGGGGUAGAGCACUGUUUCGGCUAGGGGGCCAUCCCGGCUUACCAACCCGAUGCAAACUGCGAAUACCGGAGAAUGUUAUCACGGGAGACACACGGCGGGUGCUAACGUCCGUCGUGAAGAGGGAAACAACCCAGACCGCCAGCUAAGGUCCCAAAGUCAUGGUUAAGUGGGAAACGAUGUGGGAAGGCCCAGACAGCCAGGAUGUUGGCUUAGAAGCAGCCAUCAUUUAAAGAAAGCGUAAUAGCUCACUGGUCGAGUCGGCCUGCGCGGAAGAUGUAACGGGGCUAAACCAUGCACCGAAGCUGCGGCAGCGAACGUAUCACUUAAAGCGAUUCAGCGGGUUACGAUUGACGGAGCGAAGCGACGUCAAAGCGUAUACAAAGUCGAGUCGGUUUAAGGAUACGUUCGUUGGGUAGGGGAGCGUUCUGUAAGCCCGUGAAGGUGGCCUGUGAGGGUUGCUGGAGGUAUCAGAAGUGCGAAUGCUGACAUAAGUAACGAUAAAGCGGGUGAAAAGCCCGCUCGCCGGAAGACCAAGGGUUCCUGUCCAACGUUAAUCGGGGCAGGGUGAGUCGACCCCUAAGGCGAGGCCGAAAGGCGUAGUCGAUGGGAAACGGGUUAAUAUUCCCGUACUUGGUGUUACUGCGAAGGGGGGACGGAGAAGGCUAUGUUGGCCGGGCGACGGUUGUCCCGGUUUAAGCGUGUAGGUGUGUGUUCCAGGUAAAUCCGGUUCACUUUAACACUGAGGCGUGACGACGAGGCACUACGGUGCUGAAGCAACAAAUGCCCUGCUUCCAGGAAAAGCCUCUAAGCAUCAGGUAACAUCAAAUCGUACCCCAAACCGACACAGGUGGUCAGGUAGAGAAUACCAAGGCGCUUGAGAGAACUCGGGUGAAGGAACUAGGCAAAAUGGUGCCGUAACUUCGGGAGAAGGCACGCUGACACGUAGGUGAAGUGAUUUACUCAUGGAGCUGAAGUCAGUCGAAGAUACCAGCUGGCUGCAACUGUUUAUUAAAAACACAGCACUGUGCAAACACGAAAGUGGACGUAUACGGUGUGACGCCUGCCCGGUGCCGGAAGGUUAAUUGAUGGGGUCAGCGCAAGCGAAGCUCCUGAUCGAAGCCCCUAAACGGCGGCCGUAACUAUAACGGUCCUAAGGUAGCGAAAUUCCUUGUCGGGUAAGUUCCGACCUGCACGAAUGGCGUAAUGAUGGCCAGGCUGUCUCCACCCGAGACUCAGUGAAAUUGAACUCGCUGUGAAGAUGCAGUGUACCCGCGGCAAGACGGAAAGACCCCGUGAACCUUUACUAUAGCUUGACACUGAACAUUGAGCCUUGAUGUGUAGGAUAGGUGGGAGGCUUUGAAGUGUGGACGCCAGUCUGCAUGGAGCCGACCUUGAAAUACCACCCUUUAAUGUUUGAUGUUCUAACGUGGACCCGUAAUCCGGGUUGCGGACAGUGUCUGGUGGGUAGUUUGACUGGGGCGGUCUCCUCCUAAAGAGUAACGGAGGAGCACGAAGGUUGGCUAAUCCUGGUCGGACAUCAGGAGGUUAGUGCAAUGGCAUAAGCCAGCUUGACUGCGAGCGUGACGGCGCGAGCAGGUGCGAAAGCAGGUCAUAGUGAUCCGGUGGUUCUGAAUGGAAGGGCCAUCGCUCAACGGAUAAAAGGUACUCCGGGGAUAACAGGCUGAUACCGCCCAAGAGUUCAUAUCGACGGCGGUGUUUGGCACCUCGAUGUCGGCUCAUCACAUCCUGGGGCUGAAGUAGGUCCCAAGGGUAUGGCUGUUCGCCAUUUAAAGUGGUACGCGAGCUGGGUUUAGAACGUCGUGAGACAGUUCGGUCCCUAUCUGCCGUGGGCGCUGGAGAACUGAGGGGGGCUGCUCCUAGUACGAGAGGACCGGAGUGGACGCAUCACUGGUGUUCGGGUUGUCAUGCCAAUGGCACUGCCCGGUAGCUAAAUGCGGAAGAGAUAAGUGCUGAAAGCAUCUAAGCACGAAACUUGCCCCGAGAUGAGUUCUCCUGAGACUUAGAGUCUCCUGAAGGAACGUUGAAGACGACGACGUUGAUAGGCCGGGUGUGUAAGCGCAGCGAUGCGUUGAGCUAACCGGUACUAAUGAACCGUGAGGCUUAACCUU